rnacentral:rRNA from 1 species
AGCGGGAAGCCAACUUCAAGAUGAGUUUUCCCAUUCUUUAAGAAGUAAGAUCCCUUGAAGACUACAAGGUUGAUAGGCUGGAGAUGGAAGCAUAGUGAUAUGUUGAGUUGACCAGUACUAAUAGAUCGAGGAUUUAACUUA